rnacentral:tRNA from 1 species
ACCUGGGUAGCUCAGUCGGUUAAGCGUCUGACUUGGGCUCAGGUCAUGAUCUCAUGGCUUGUGAGUUCAAGUCCCACAUCGGGCU